UAAAUAAAUAAUAUAUAAAUAAUAAUUAUUGUGGUAAAUAAUGUUGUGUUUCAUAAAUUAUUACCGUGUUUAGUUUGUGGUUAAAUUUUCGAAAUGUAAAUAUACAUAAGUACUUGUAAACUGAUCAGCUGAUCAGCUGAUUAUUUUAGUGUGCGUACAAAUUUUGGAAACCUCGAUGGGAUCUAGGGCAUCUGGAGCUAUUCAAGAAGAAUUUUUACGUUCCCAGUGACACAGUUUCAAAUCGCAACCCACGUUUUAUCAAGCAAUAUAGAAGCGAAAAGGAGAUAAAUCUUCGUGGAAUAUUAUACCUAAUCCAUUUUUUUUCAUUUUUGAAGAGGCCGGAUUUCUGAAUUACGUUAUAAAAUAAGUUGCAGAUGACGUUAGUCACACAUCUUGUAUAUGGAAUACUUGUUUGUACGGCAGAGCACCGAAAAGUUCACAGGCCAGAGAUCCUACAGCGGAGUGGAGAUUGUCAUCGCUACUCCAGGAAGAUUGCUAGAUUUUCCUGGAGUUUAUUAGAUUGUAACAAAACGUAGAGUAGAUAAAAUAACGA